rnacentral:rRNA from 1 species
CAGUCGCCGCGGGAAUACGAAGGGUGCAAGCGUUAAUCGGAAUUACUGGGCGUAAAGCGUGCGUGGGCGGUUUGUUAAGUCUGUUGUGAAAUCCCCGGGCUCAACCUGGGAAUGGCAAUGGAUACUGGCAAGCUAGAGUGUGUCAGAGGAUGGUGGAAUUCCCGGUGUAGCGGUGAAAUGCGUAGAGAUCGGGAGGAACAUCAGUGGCGAAGGCGGCCAUCUGGGACAACACUGACGCUGAGGCACGAAAGCGUGGGGAGCAAACAGGAUUAGAUACCCGCGUAGUCCCUGUCUCUUAUAA